UACGUAGGGGGCAAGCGUUGUCCGGAUUUAUUGGGCGUAAAGAGCGUGUAGGCGGCCAAGCAGGUCAGCUGUGAAAACUCGAGGCUCAACCUCGAGACGUCGGUUGAAACCGCUUGGCUAGAGUCCGGAAGAGGAGAGUGGAAUUCCUGGUGUAGCGGUGAAAUGCGCAGAUAUCAGGAGGAACACCGGUGGCGAAGGCGGGUCUCUGGGCCGUAACUGACGCUGAGGAGCGAAAGCGUGGGGAGCGAACAGG
rnacentral:rRNA from 1 species